GCAGGGGUUGGGAGGUGGCGGUCAGGAGCCCCAGGGAUUCCUGGACAGUCGCCCCAUGCCGACCGCGCAGCCUCUUCUGCACAGAGACGCACAGCCACCCGCUCCGGGUUCUGAGCUCUAGCCCCGAGGAACUGCGGUGGAGGGAGGUGUAGGGACUCCCAGUCAUCGAUCAUUUCUGCUCAGCUCCUCCAGGGCUGAAGAGCUUGGGGGUGGCUGGUAAUUACAAACCUGGGGCCCUGACCUGGCCUCCGUCGGGGCCGGUGUCUCCGCACCCCACCCA
rnacentral:lncRNA from 1 species